UGGAAACACAACAUCGUUUGAAAUGGAAAAGAUUAUUCAAAUCACUCAUGAACAUGAACCUCCUUUAUUUUUUGGAUCUGGAAAUAUGAAUUGUGAGUAUGAAUCCUCUCAUGGACUUCUCUGUUUAUUUUGUUGGUAUAAUUAAGGACAAAUAUGAAACAUUGCUUUAAGUUGUUUAAGAUUGCAAAUUUGGGUCAUUCGUUCUGAAUCUUAAGAUUGAAAUUGAAACCA
rnacentral:lncRNA from 1 species